rnacentral:tRNA from 1 species
UAUCACAACCCUUUUUCGUAGCAGAAGUAUUUACCGGUUUAAGCAAAAUAAGUUUAUACACCUAAUUUUGUUCCUG